AUUGAACGCUGGCGGCAUGCCUAACACAUGCAAGUCGAGCGCAGCGGCGGAAGGGUGAGUUAUGCCUAGGAAUAUGCCUGGUAGUGGUGUAUCCCGUCCGGUAACGGGCGCUUUUACCGCAUACUAUCAGAUCAGCCUAGGUCGGAGUAGCUAGUUGGUGGGGUAAAGGCCUACCAAGGCGACGAUCCGUAGCUGCUCUGAGAGGAUGAUCAGUCACACUGGAACGGAGACACGGUCCAGACUCCGACGGGAGGCAGCAGUGGGGAAGAUUGGACAAUGGGCGAAAGCCUGAUCCAGACAUGCCGCGUGUGUGAAGAAGGUCUUCGGAUUGUAAAGCACUUUAGGUUGGGAGGCGUUAUCUACAGAAUAAGCACCGGCUAACUUCGUGCCAGCAGCCGCGGUAAUUC
rnacentral:rRNA from 1 species